ACAUGCAAGUCGAGGGGCAUCGGGAGUAGCAAUACUUGCCGGCGACCGGCGCAAGGGUGCGUAACGCGUGAGCAACAUGCCCGUAUCAGGGGGAUAAUCCAUGGAAACGUGGUCUAAUACCCCAUAGUAAUUAUGUAAGGCAUCUUAUAUAAUUUAAAGCUUUGGUGGAUACGGAUUGGCUCGCGUGACAUUAGCUGGAUGGUAAGGUAACGGCUUACCAUGGCUACGAUGUCUAGGGGUUCUGAGAGGAACGGUCCCCCACACUGGAACUGAGACACGGUCCAGACUCCUACGGGAGGCAGCAGUGAGGAAUAUUGGACAAUGGAUGGAAAUCUGAUCCAGCCAUGCCGCGUAGAAGGAAGAAGGUCCUAUGGAUUAGUAAACUUUCUUUUGUAGUGGGAGCAAUAAGGCCUACGAGUAGGCUGAUGAGAGUACCAUACGAAUAAGCACCGGCUAACUACGUGCCAGCCGCCGC
rnacentral:rRNA from 1 species